rnacentral:rRNA from 1 species
GUUAAGUCUGAAGGGAAAGCCCCCGGGUCAACCGGGGAGGGUCAUUGGAAAAUGGGAGACUUGAGUGCAGAAGAGGAGAGUGGAAUUCCAUGUGUAGCGGUGAAAUGCGUAGAUAUAUGGAGGAACACCAGUGGCGAAGGCGGCUCUCUGGUCUGUAACUGACGCUGAGGCUCGAAAGCGUGGGGAGCGAACAGGAUUAGAUACCCUGGUAGUCCACGCCGUAAACGAUGAGUGCUAAGUGUUGGAGGGUUUCCGCCCUUCAGUGCUGCAGCAAACGCAUUAAGCACUCCGCCUGGGGAGUACGACCGCAAGGUUGAAACUCAAAGGAAUUGACGGGGGCCCGCACAAGCGGUGGAGCAUGUGGUUUAAUUCGAAGCAACGCGAAGAACCUUACCAGGUCUUGACAUCCUUUGACCACUCUAGAGAUAGAGCUUCCCCUUCGGGGGCAAAGUGACAGGUGGUGCAUGGUUGUCGUCAGCUCGUGUCGUGAGAUGUUGGGUUAAGUCCCGCAACGAGCGCAACCCUUAUUGUUAGUUGCCAUCAUUUAGUUGGGCACUCUAGCGAGACUGCCGGUGACAAACCGGAGGAAGGUGGGGAUGACGUCAAAUCAUCAUGCCCCUUAUGACCUGGGCUACACACGUGCUACAAUGGGAAGUACAACGAGUUGCGAAGUCGCGAGGCUAAGCUAAUCUCUUAAAGCUUCUCUCAGUUCGGAUUGUAGGCUGCAACUCGCCUACAUGAAGCCGGAAUCGCUAGUAAUCGCGGAUCAGCACGCCGCGGUGAAUACGUUCCCGGGCCUUGUACACACCGCCCGUCACACCACGAGAGUUGUAACACCCGAAGUCGGUGAGGUAACCUUUUGGAGCCAGCCGCCUAAGGUGGAAAU